rnacentral:rRNA from 1 species
CCUACGGGGGGCAGCAGUGAGGAAUAUUGGUCAAUGGACGAGAGUCUGAACCAGCCAUGUAGCGUGAAGGAUGACUGCCCUAUGGGUUGUAAACUUCUUUUGUCAGGGAGUAAAUCGAGGCACGUGUGCCCUUUUGCAUGUACUUUAUGAAUAAGGAUCGGCUAACUCCGUGCCAGAAUCCGCGGUAAUACGGGGGGUACGAGCGUUGUCCGGAUUUAUUGGGAUUAAAGGGAACGUCGAUGGGUGAUUAAGUCAGGUGUGAAAUUUUGGGGCUCAACCGUACAAGUGCCAUUGAUACUGGCAGGCUUGAGUAGAGUUGAGGUAGGCAGAAUGCGUGGUGUAGCGGUGAAAUGCGUAGAUAUCACGAAGAACCCCGAUUGCGAAGGCAGCUUACUAGACUGUGACUGACAUUGAGGCUCGAAAGCGUGGGUAGCAAACAGGAUUAGAUACCCCAGUAGUC